AAAGCUUUAAGUUAUAAAACUAUUAGCCUUCAAAGUUAAAAAUACAAGCUAAUUGUAAGCUUUA
rnacentral:tRNA from 2 species